rnacentral:rRNA from 1 species
UACGUAGGGGCAAGCGUUGUCCGGAUUUAUUGGGCGUAAAGAGCGUGUAGGCGGUUUGGUAGGUCCGCUGUGAAAACUCGAGCUCAACCUCGAGACGCCGGUGGAAACCAUCAGACUAGAGCCCGGAAGAGGAGAGUGGAAUUCCUGGUGUAGCGGUGAAAUGCGCAGAUAUCAGGAAGAACACCCGUGGCUAAGGCGGCUCUCUAGUACGGUACUGACGCUGAGACGCGAAAGCGUGGGGAGCGAACAGG